GGGAAUAUGGCUUAGUGGUAGAGCGCUUGCCUAGCAUGCAUGAAGCCCUGGGUUGAUCCCU
rnacentral:tRNA from 1 species